UUUGGAGAGUUUGAUCCUGGCUCAGGACGAACGCUGGCGGCGUGCCUAAUACAUGCAAGUAGAACGCUGAAGCUUGGUGCUUGCACCGAGCGGAUGAGUUGCGAACGGGUGAGUAACGCGUAGGUAACCUGCCUGGUAGCGGGGGAUAACUAUUGGAAACGAUAGCUAAUACCGCAUAAGAGUAGAUGUUGCAUGACAUUUGCUUAAAAGGUGCAAUUGCAUCACUACCAGAUGG
rnacentral:rRNA from 1 species